UAGGCAAUGAGGAGUCUAGUAUCACUGGGUCCAAUCUGAGAAGUCUUUAGACUCAGUACUCUAUCCCUUCUUCUUUCUAAUUAGAAGUUCUUGAUCAGGAAGACUGAGUCACCAAGGUUCCGAAGGGACAAGUCACCAUAAACGAGGAGGCCCUUUGAACCGGCAUUCGCCUUCCACUUCAUCCCUUCAUUAGUAAUAACUUAGAUUUCUAUAGGAUUCUUCCAACUCAGAUCAUCCCAAACUCAACUCAGAUGAUCAUUAUUUUCAUUAUUCUUUG
rnacentral:lncRNA from 1 species